GCUGGAUUGCGACACACUCAGUAUCGCUGACUCUGUGACCGAAGUUGGAGAGAUGUUAAUAGAAGAGCGGCAUCUUGGCAGUACAUUUUUGAGCUACCUGUUGAACUGUCGGCUUGUCAGUGAAGAAACCUUGUGACAUGGCAAGUGUGCAUCCUUUGGAAUGUUUAUUGACAUCGGGUAGUAUACGAAGGAUUACUUUUCACCAGGGUAGGCUCCUGAAGUUCACGUGCAGGACAUCAGAGAUCAUCACGGCAGUGGAACCACCUUCCCUGUGAAACUGUAUCUAUUGUCGACAACAAACUGUUUCGUAAGGCUUUAGCUAACAUUGUAUAAUUAGGAAUUAAAAACAUGUUAUUUCAUUUACUUGCCGUACUUACAAGCGACUAAGGACGACACUGGUUAAGAAUGUACUACCAGGAAUUAUCAAAAUGCUACUUUGUUUACAUUGUCUGUCGUACUUACAAAUAUUGGGCAAGAUAUUACAUAGUAUUGUAUAAUUAGUAAUUACUAACACACUUCAUUGUUUAUUUUCCGUACUUUAUUGUUAUACUUCCCGUUUUCCCACUCCCCUCUGUAAUGCCUUCUGGCCUUGAGGGUACCAUAAAUAAAAAAAUAAAAAAAUAAAUAACUUAUAUUCAUCUUCGGGAAGGAUGGAAAUUCAGUGACUUGACUAAACAUCAGCCUAGUGUCGUUGUCGCUGUCAAAUACCGAUUUAAAAUAUUUAUUAAAAGCUUCAGAGAUAACAGGUGGUUUAGAACAUCGUUUACCG